rnacentral:rRNA from 1 species
UACGGGGGGGGCAAGCGUUGUUCGGAAUUACUGGGCGUAAAGGGCUCGUAGGCGGCCAACUAAGUCAUACGUGAAAUCCCUCGGCUUAACCGGGGAACUGCGUCUGAUACUGGAUGGCUUGAGAUUGGGAGAGGGAUGCGGAAUUCCAGGUGUAGCGGUGAAAUGCGUAGAUAUCUGGAGGAACACCGGUGGCGAAGGCGGCAUCCUGGACCGACACUGACACUGAGGAGCGAAAGCCAGGGGAGCAAACGGG